UAGUCCACGCCGUAAACGAUGAGUGUUAGAUGUCCGAGGUAGACUUGGGUGUCCCAAGCAAACGCGAUAAACACUCCGCCUGGGGAGUACGUACGCAAGUAUGAAACUCAAAGGAAUUGACGGGGACCCGCACAAGCAGCGGAGCAUGUGGUUUAAUUCGACGCAACGCGAAGAACCUUACCAAGUCUUGACAUAACUUUGAAGUCCUUUAGAGAUAGAGGAUGAUUGACUUCGGUCAACAAAGCUAC
rnacentral:rRNA from 1 species